UAUGUGGACAGAGUUGGCAUCGGGCUUUGUUGCAAAGAUAGGUUCCUGGGUUAGUGUUUCUGUUGUAUGGUCUGUGGUUGCUGUUGAGUAUUUGCUUCUGGUUGGGGGCUGCCUGUAAGCGAGGACUUGUCUGUCUCCUAAGAUCUGAGAGAG